rnacentral:lncRNA from 1 species
UUUGAGAAAUAGGGGUCUCUCCCCAUCUUCAUUAGGAAGCGCUGCCCCACUUUCUUCUUACAUUAGGCACUGCCCCCUUUGAUGUACUACUUAUGAUGGUCGCUGCCCCUAAUCAGCUUCCAGUGCUACUGUUACUGUUGAUGUCACCUCCAUUUAUCCUCCACUGUACAAUUGUGGCUGCCAUGGCUCGUUUGCUACCAUCACUUCAGUUGUUUCCUGGCCGCUGCUAUAUAUAGCCCAUGUUGCCAUGGUCUCCAUAUCAUGUCGCAUAUGAGGCCAUUGUCCACGAAAGUGGCUAUUAAUGAUCACUGCCACAAGAUAACAAGCAAGAAACAGAGUUGCAAAUGUUGAUAAAUUGGCAAGAUAACAAUCAUGAAGCAAAGUUGAAAUUGUUGACUUGAUAAAGAUUGUUGAGCAAGUAGAUGACAUCAUGCAACAGAGAAGGAUAAGGAUAAUAGUAAAGCCACUUUUGUGGCUGAUCAUCACGUGAAUGGAAGGGCAGCCCAGCCUAUAAAUAGAGCACCAUAGUUUCAUUCAAUUCAUCCCAGCAAGCAUUCGAGUAUUGCUUCAAAGAGAGGAAAAAUUCAGAGAGAUAGAGAAAUUAGUUUUCUUUGUAUUAUCUUGUGAGGUUCUUCUAGUAUGAGUUCUCCUAUUUCAAGAGAGAGUGUAAUUUGUUCUCUCCUUGUAUUUAGAGAGAGGUGUUGUAAUUUCUCUCCUUGUAUUUUGAGAAAUAGGGGUCUCUCCCCAUCUUCAUUAGGAAGCGCUGCCCCACUUUCUUCUUACAUUAGGCACUGCCCCCUUUGAUGUACUACUUAUGAUGGUCGCUGCCCCUAAUCAGCUUCCAGUGCUACUGUUACUGUUGAUGUCACCUCCAUUUAUCCUCCACUGUACAAUUGUGGCUGCCAUGGCUCGUUUGCUACCAUCACUUCAGUUGUUUCCUGGCCGCUGCUAUAUAUAGCCCAUGUUGCCAUGGUCUCCAUAUCAUGUCGCAUAUGAGGCCAUUGUCCACGAAAGUGGCUAUUAAUGAUCACUGCCACAAGAUAACAAGCAAGAAACAGAGUUGCAAAUGUUGAUAAAUUGGCAAGAUAACAAUCAUGAAGCAAAGUUGAAAUUGUUGACUUGAUAAAGAUUGUUGAGCAAGUAGAUGACAUCAUGCAACAGAGAAGGAUAAGGAUAAUAGUAAAGCCACUUUUGUGGCUGAUCAUCACGUGAAUGGAAGGGCAGCCCAGCCUAUAAAUAGAGCACCAUAGUUUCAUUCAAUUCAUCCCAGCAAGCAUUCGAGUAUUGCUUCAAAGAGAGGAAAAAUUCAGAGAGAUAGAGAAAUUAGUUUUCUUUGUAUUAUCUUGUGAGGUUCUUCUAGUAUGAGUUCUCCUAUUUCAAGAGAGAGUGUAAUUUGUUCUCUCCUUGUAUUUAGAGAGAGGUGUUGUAAUUUCUUCCACUUAGUGAAAAGCUUUUCUACCGGUGCGUGUGGUUUUUCCCUUAUCUGUUGAGGGUUUUCCACGUAAAUAUUGUGUGUCAAUUUCCUCAUCACUCAUCUCUUAUUUUAGUUGUGUUAUUAUCCUGCUACUCUGGUACCCAACAGUGGUAUCAGAGCUGUUGGUGCCGGUCCUUAUUCCGCUGCGGUGUACGGUUACUAUUUACACGUGAGGUUGUAUACUUUUGCAGUGAUUGUUAACGUAUACUAGAUCCAUUCUAGUGUGCGGUAAAAAUAUACAAUACUGCUCACGUAUACUGUGCUAUUCACAGUGAAAUUGUGUAAACCGAUUCCGUGAAAAAAAAAAUGGCAGCAAAAUUUGAGAUCCCGAAAUUCAGUGGGAGUAACUUCUCUCUGUGAAAAUUGAAGAUAAAGGCGAUCCUGAGGAAGGAUAAUUGCUUACCAGCAAUUGAUGGUAGACCUGCUGAUAUAACUAAUGAUAAGUGGAAAGAGAUGGACGACAAUGUUGUGGCCAAUCUGCACCUAGCAGUGGUAGAUUCGGUUUUGUCUAGUAUUGCUGAAAAGAAAACAGCAAAGGAGAUCUGAGAUACUCUUAUCCAAUUGUACGAGGUCAAGUCACUUUACAACAGAAUUUUCUUAAAGAGGAGACUCUACACUCUUCGAAUGAGUGAAUCCACUUCGAUGCCGGAUCACAUCAACAAUUUGAACACAAUGUUUGCUCAACUAUCUGCAUCAGAUUUCACAAUUGGGGAAAAUGAACGUGCAGAGGUUCUUCUUCAGAGUUUACCAGAUUCAUAUGAUCAAUUCGUCAUCAAUAUUACAAACAAUAAUAUUGUUGACCGUCUAUCCUUUAAUGAUGUUGUCGGAGCUAUUCUUGGAGAAGAGUCCAGGCGAAAAAAUAAGGAAGAUCGUCCGGAGAGCUCAAAACAAAUGGAAGCUUUGACUGACGAGAGGCAGAUCAACAGAGCGUGGCCCCAGUGGGAGUCAGAACCAUGAUAGAUCAAAAUCUCGAAGAAAGACAAAUCUCAAAUGCUACAAUUGUGGCAAGAGAGGGCACUUGAAGAAAGAUUGUUGGGCCAACAAGAAGAGUGGUGAAAAAUCUUCUGAAGCAAGUACAUCUCAAGGAUGUGUUGCUAGUACCUCUGAUGAUGGGGAAGUCCUAUACAGCGAAGCAGCAGUUAGUACUAAAGGCAAAAAUUGUCUCAUUGAUGUUUGGAUAGUAGAUUCAGGAGCAACAUGGUACAUGACCCCACGACGAGAUUGGUUUUGCACUUAUGAGCAUGUCUCAGAAGGAAACGUGUUCAUGGGAAACGAUCAUGCCUUGGAAAUUGUUGGAAUUGGUACUGUCAAAAUAAAAAUGUAUGAUGGUACCAUUCGCACACUUCAAGAGGUACGACAUGUGAAAGGGUUAGCAAAGAAUUUGUUGUCUGUUGGGCAACUAGAUGACCUCGGAUACAAGUACGAUAUUCAAGGUGGGAUCUUGAAAGUGGUGAAAGGUUCACUAGUAGUAAUGAAAGCAAAGAAGGUCGCUGCAAAUCUAUACAUGCUUUUGGGAGAUACGUGGCAAAUGACAGAUGCAUCAGUUGCAGUUGGAAGCCAAGAAGAAACAACGAUGAUGUGGCACCGCAGAUUAGGCCAUAUGUCGGAACGAGGCUUGAAAGUUCUUGCAGAACGUAAUCUCAUACCUGGGCUCAAGUCAGUAAGUUUACCUUUCUGUGAGCAUUGUGUGAUAAGUAAGCAGCAAAGACUAAAGUUUGCUAAGUCAACUACUAGAAGCAAACACAUGCUGGACUUGAUUCAUUCUGAUGUGUGAGAGUCAUCGGAAAUGUCCAUAGGAGGAGCAAAGUAUUUUGUAUCAUUCAUUGAUGAUUACUCCAGGAGAUUGUGGGUGUACCCGAUCAAGAAGAAGUCAGGUGUGUAUUCAGUAUUCAAGGAGUUUAAAGCACAAGUAGAACUUGAAACUGGGAAAAGAAUUAAGUGUUUGAGGACAGAUAAUGGAGGAGAAUAUACAGAUGGUGAUUUCCUGGCAUUCUACAAGCAAGAAGGUAUUACGAGGCAAUUUACAGUUGCUCAUUCACCUCAGUAGAAUGGAGUAGCAGAUCAUGAUGCAUAUUGUCUUCUCUCGGAAGAUGGAGAACCAUCAACCUUUCAGGAGGCGUUAAAUGGUUCAGAUGCUUCUCUGUGGAUGGCAGCAAUGCAGGAGGAGAUUGAAGCCUUACAUAGAAAUAAUACUUGGGAACUUGUUGAACUUCCUAAAGGUCGGAAAGCCAUUGGCAACAAAUGGGUGUUCAAAAUCAAACGAGAUGGCAACGAUCAGGUGGAACGCUAUCGUGCAAGACUGGUGGUCAAAGGAUAUGCUCAGAAAGAAGGUAUUGAUUUCAAUGAGAUAUUCUCUCCAGUAGUAAGACUUACCACUAUUAGAGCAGUCCUGGCAAUGUGUGCUGCAUUUGAUCUACAUCUUGAGCAGCUUGAUGUAAAGACUGCAUUUCUUCAUGGAGAACUUGAAGAAGAAAUCUAUAUGCUCCAACCAGAAGGCUUUGAAGAUCAUGAAAAAGAAAACUUAGUUUGCAGGUUGACCAAAUCUCUGUACGGUCUAAAGCAGGCGCCGAGGUGUUGGUACAAAAGAUUUGAUUCUUUCAUCAUGAUCCUUGGAUACAACAGGCUGAGUUCAGACCAUUGUACGUACUACAAAAGGUUUGAUGAUAAUGAUUUCAUCAUUUUGCUGUUGUAUGUGGAUGACAUGUUGGUGGUAGGCCCCAACAAAGAUCAAGUCCAAGAAUUGAACGCACAGUUGGCUAGGGAGUUUGAUAUGAAAGACAUGGGACCCGCAAACAAGAUUUUAGGGAUGCAAAUUCACCAAGACAGAAAAGACAGGAGUAUUUGGCUUUCUCAGAAGAAUUAUCUUCAGAAAGUCUUGCGGCGCUUCAACAUGCAAGACUGUAACCCAAUCUCAACCCCACUUCCUGUUAAUUACAAAUUAUCCUCAAGUAUGAUUCCUAGCAGUGAAGCAGAGAGGAUGAAGAUGUCUCGAGUACCGUAUGCAUCAGCGGUGGGAAGCCUUAUGUACGCUAUGAUAUGCACUAGACCAGAUAUUGCUCAAGCAAUUGGGACGGUCAGUCGGUUUAUGGCAGAUCCAGGCAAAGAGCACUGGAAUGCUGUGAAGACGAUUCUGAGACACAUCAAAGGAACCUCAGGUGCUGUGUUAUGUUUUGGGGGAUCAGAAUUCAAUAUCAGAGGCUAUGUUGAUUCAGACUUUGUAGGUGAUCUUGAUAAAAGAAAAUUUACUACUGGCUAUGUGUUCACACUUGCAGGAGGAGCAGUAAGCUGGUUAUCCAAAUUACAGACUGUUGUAGCUUUGUCUACUACAGAAGCAGAAUACAUGGCAGCUACUCAAGCAUGCAAGGAAGCUAUUUGGAUUCAAAGGUUGUUGGAAGAGCUCGGGCACAAGCAACGAAAGAUUAUUGUGUAUUGUGACAGUCAGAGCGCCUUGCACAUUGCAAGGAAUCCAGUUUUUCAUUCUAGGACAAAGCACAUAGGAGUUCAGUACCAUUUUGUCAGAGAGGUAGUAGAAGAAGGAAGCGUGGAUAUGCAGAAAAUUCACACCAAAGAUAACCUAGCGGAUGUAAUGACGAAGCCAAUCAACUCUGAUAAGUUUACUUGGUGUAGGUCCUCUUAUGGCCUAUUAAAAAUGUAAGCAACAUGGAACUGGCAAGGUAGAGAAAUUUUGCAAACUCACAAAAGUGACUUUAAGUGGGAGAUUGUCAACGAAAGUGGCUAUUAAUGAUCACUGCCACAAGAUAACAAGCAAGAAACAGAGUUGCAAAUGUUGACAAAUUGGCAAGAUAACAAUCAUGAAGCAAAGUUGAAAUUGUUGACUUGAUAAAGAUUGUUGAGCAAGUAG